rnacentral:rRNA from 1 species
UCAAGUGAUGAUUAUUGGAGGUAGAGCACUGUUUGGACGAGGGGCCCCUCUCGGGUUACCGAAUUCAGACAAACUCCGAAUGCCAAUUAAUUUAACUUGGGAGUCAGAACAUGGGUGAUAAGGUCCGUGUUCGAAAGGGAAACAGCCCAGACCACCAGCUAAGGUCCCAAAAUAUAUGUUAAGUGGAAAAGGAUGUGGCGUUGCCCAGACAACUAGGAUGUUGGCUUAGAAGCAGCCAUCAUUUAAAGAGUGCGUAAUAGCUCACUAGUCGAGUGACACUGCGCCGAAAAUGUACCGGGGCUAAACAUAUUACCGAAGCUGUGGAUUGUCCUUUGGACAAUGGUAGGAGAGCGUUCUAAGGGCGUUGAAGCAUGAUCGUAAGGACAUGUGGAGCGCUUAGAAGUGAGAAUGCCGGUGUGAGUAGCGAAAGACGGGUGAGAAUCCCGUCCACCGAUUGACUAAGGUUUCCAGAGGAAGGCUCGUCCGCUCUGGGUUAGUCGGGUCCUAAGCUGAGGCCGACAGGCGUAGGCGAUGGAUAACAGGUUGAUAUUCCUGUACCACCUAUA